rnacentral:tRNA from 1 species
UCCCUGGUGGUCCAAUGGUUAAGAUUCUGUGCUCCCAAUGCAGGGGGCCCAGGUUCAAUCCCUGGUCAGGGAA